rfam:Danio rerio chromosome 4, GRCz11 reference primary assembly.
GUUUCUGUAGUGUAGUGGUCAUCACGUUCGCCUAACUCACGAAAGGUUCUCGGUUCGAAACCGAGCAGAAACA